UCCUCAGUGCCAUUAAAUUAUUGGUGGCAGCAGUAGAGGGGACUGGGCUCAUCAGUGUUCUUUCAGGGUGGAUCCUUGCUAUGUUUUGUUCAAGGACCUGUGAGUUUACUUGUGCUGAUGGCCUUUCUUUGCUCUCAGGCCCCCUCCUGGCUAUUCUCCACUGACAGCAAAAGUUAGCAGCCAGAGUCCAUUUCAGACAUGACCAAUGCCCUUCCAGAACAGAACUUGAGAGCAGGUUUGGGAAGAACACUGUAUGGCAUUGGCUGAUUUGUUGUCCUAAAACUGGUCUCUGACAGAGAUUUGGCUCUGAACCUAUUCAGGACUUGCAAAGACCAUUUUGAGCUUUAUGGGGCACCUCUUUGUUGGUACUUUCUGCCACAUGUGGAAGCCUUAUUUUGCUCCAGUUUACUGGAGCAUGUCCUUGGAAGCUUUUUCAAGUUCUUCUGCAUCUUCUCCAGGAAAGAAGCAUGCAAAUGUAUCUGAACGUUCCUCUCUAAGAAAGUGUUCAUAGUUUGUCAGUCUUUGUUGUUACCUGUUGUUUGCAUACCUUUUGACCUGGACAGUUUUUCUGGCUUAGAGGCACAUCUUUUUACUGUACUUUUAUUUCUAUUAGUCCCCUUUUGGUUUUGGAGAUGUGUAGCAGACACAUUUUUCAGACUUGUAGCAGACACUUGUAGCAGUGUCAGGAGCAGAGAAACAGGCCAAUGAAUUUCUUAUUCUUGGGACAGGACAGUUGGGUUUUGUAGCUUACAAACCAGUCUUUAUAUUGUCAGAAUCACAGUUUUCUUUCUUACCCUCUGAGUUGUAAGUUAAGUCAUCCAGGGACUUGUGGUUAGAAUGUUUGACAUGUUCCAGUCAAAGAAUUUGGUCUACAUAACUCUGCUUUCCAGUCAGAUGUUACACAAUAGUGAAAUUAAAGUCCCAGUUUAGUUUAAUUAGAGUGGAAAAACAAAGCUUAAGUAAAAAAAGGGCAUUUUUCUGUAGAAGUAGAGUCAGUUAGUAGAGACCCAUAAAUACCUGGUUUGAUUAUUAGUGUGUAUCAUAGCCAAAAUAAAAGGUGUCUCUGGUCUAGGUGACUACAGCAAAGGAAACGUGCUGCAGCAUAAAGGGAAACAACACCCUGAGGUGUCAGGAGGAAGGCAGUGAACAUGGCUGCUUGCCAGGACCUGUUCAUGCAGCUCUGCUUUGGGAGUUGAUCUUGAAAUUUUUUGAUGGGUUCUGUGAGUUCAAAGUGGUUCAGGAUUGCUCUUUCUUUGCAUAGCUUUUUUACUUUGAGGCUGGCUGGGUACCUGGUUGACUGUGGAGGGGAAUGGCUGUGGUAGAACUACUGGCCUGUGGAUUGAGCCAGGCUUUAUGGCCUGGUGGGGAGCUGGGUAAUCCAGAACAGAGCUCUAAGUAAGAAAGAGUCUGUUGAGCUGGUGACCUGCUGGGGAAGCAGCUCUUGUAAGAUGGAGGAGCUGAAAGUUUCAAUCCUGUUUCAUGGUAGUGAGAAACCAAAACCUUAAAUGCCAGCCUCUGAUACCUCUUUGCAAACAUUGCCAUUGCCAGGCAUUGCAGCUUCUCUGUCUUCUCCUGUUGUAGCAGUCCUCCUUUACCUGUUGUAAGUAAGCUAAAUAGUAAUACUUGGGCAUGCUGGCCCUGUGAUUCUGUCUUUCUAACUAACAUGGACUAUACCAGGGCUUAAGCUUCAGCCCAUUUCCCCAACAGCUGUAAAGGAGUGAUGCUGUGAGCCAGGCCUCAGGUGGUUUCCUAUGAAAGAAAUAGGGGAAAUCUUCAUCUCUUGUUAUUCCGUGGUAGUGUUAGGGCGGUAGGAAGCUGUGGUUGGGUUGCCUAGUGUGAACACUGGUGAGGAUCCAAGGGCAGCACAUAAAGAAGCGGGCUCAAUGUUUAGAACAGUGACGUGUUUUGUGUAUCUAGCCAUCUGUUACCCAUCUGGAAGUACUCUGGGUACUUUGGUUUGUACUGUAGCGAAAUAUAGACUUUCUUCCCUGGGAUGCUGAAGACAAGAAGAUACUGAGGUGACUGCACAUCUGAAAGAGAAGUGAGGCAGUUGUCAUGCCCCUGUCUUUCUGGCAGGCGUUGUAUUAGCUAUCCCAGAGGCGUGAUACUGCUCUGUGCCUGUGUUGGCUGACUCAGCUGGAAUGUUGGCAAGUGCCGUGGUGGGGCACAGGUUAACAGGUGUUAAGUCUGUCACAAGUGUUUUCCCUUGCAGUAUGUAAUGAAGGCCACUGAUUUGCUAGAGCUCCUCAGUAUUGUAAAUGAAGCAAGGGUGAACGGAAAGCUGAAAAAUUGCUGCAGUGGUUGAGUUUAAAUGAGGCCAUUGGGAAACCUCUGCAGGCUUUAAAUAAUAACAGACAUACUACAGCCUGGCUCUGAGCAGGACAUCAGGCUGCUUCAUAAUGCUGAAUGCAGGAAAUCAACUCCUUGGUAAUUAACUUGUGUUAUCUUUUUCCUGUAGCUGUAGGAAUCUUUGGAAGCCAGCAAAAGUGGGGACUGUGCCUUUGGUGGUUACUUUAGAACUGUUCUGUUCGAAGGGGUGAUCAUCCAGAAGAGCCAAAAGCUGUGGACUGUGGGAGUGACACCCAGGUUACUGAAGACUGAAUUGAGCCAAGAGCAACCCUGUCAAAUCUCCAUCUUUGUGCCACGAAAACUGGCUACAACUAUAUUAGGAGCUUUUUUUGUGCAACUGUGCUGCAAAAAUUAUGAAGAGACCGGCUAGAAACUGCAUCCUUUGAUUGCUCUGUGUGCCUUACCUCUUUUUUGAGUUCAU